UCCUGCAUCCACUGUGCCCACUCAGCUUGUACCUCUGAGCCUGAGGUCAGAGACAGGCAGAGAAGAGAGGGUGGCCAUGGAUUCCCCCAUUCCCUGAGGCUGCCUGCAACCCUUCUGGGAAGCAUUUCAACCUCUCACCAGCAAGAACUGCCCUGGUUGCCAUGGUUACAGUGGAACCACCCACCCACCCAGGCCUCCCAGGACAGGAUCUCCAGCUGCUCAGUGUGAAGUCUAGCUCUGGAAAAAGAAGGAGGAGAGAGAGACUGAUUAUGUAAGAGCAUUCGCUGCCACUCAGCCACCAGCCAGGAAAGGAAGACCCACCGUGCACACUGUCCCCGCUGUCUGCACUGAGACACCCAGCAGUGUCUUCACACACAAGAAAGGACUCAAAGGCAUGGCAGGAGCUGCCUGGAGACAAGGAGUGAGUCUCCCAAGUCAGGCCACAGUCUGGCAGCCUUGAGUUGGAACUAAAAAGAGCAGCAGAGCCCACAAGCUAGGAUGCCUGCCUGAAGGAGGAAUUCAAACGCAGGUCCUCAUGUGUGCACUGAGAAAGCUCUUACCUGCUGAGCCAUGCCCUCAGCCCCUGCUGCAGCUUCAUCAUUCAGAAGGAACUCUAGCAUUGAACCCCACCGUGCAUCCCGGUCUGCCUGUUCCCAGUGGAGAAGUCAAGUGGGAAAAAGAGGCACAGCCAACCUCAUGGAUCAACCACAUGUCACGCUGUGGCCCCUGUAUGAGUCCCAUUGAAAUGAGGAGGCAGGAAGGACCCCCAAGGAAGCUGCCAAGAGGAAGGUAUCUGAUGACGCUUAGAUGUGGAAUAGAGGCUCUGAAGAAGUCAGGCUCCUGGCUGUGGUAGUUUGAAUGAGAUGUCCACCUUAGAUUUAGAUAUUAGGAUACCUAGUCCCAGCUGGCAGUGUUGUCUGGGGAGGUGUGUGUGGCUUUGUUGGAAGGAGUGUGUCAC